rnacentral:rRNA from 1 species
CCUACGGGAGGCAGCAGUGGGGGAUAUUGCACAAUGGGGGGAACCCUGAUGCAGCGACGCCGCGUGGGUGAAGAAGCGCCUCGGCGCGUAAAGCCCUGUCAGCAGGGAAGAAAAUGACGGUACCUGAAGAAGAAGCCUCCGCUAACUACGUGCCAGCCGCCGCGGUAAUACGUAGGGGGCCAGCGUUAUCCGGAUUUACUGGGGGUAAAGGGGGCGCAGGCGGAGAUGCAAGCCAGGAGGGAAAGCCCGGGGCCCAACCCCGGGACCGCUCUUUAAACUGGGUGGCUGGAGUGUAGGAGGGGCAGGCGGAAUUCCUGGGGUAGCGGUGAAAUGCGGAGAUAUCAGGAGGAACACCGGUGGCGAAGGCGGCCUGCUGGACUGCAACUGACGUUGAGGCCCGAAAGCGUGGGGAGCAAACAGGAUUAGAUACCCUUGUAGUC